CUACCCCUGGAGCACAUAGUCCAUGUGUGCCAAGAGUCAGCACUCACAGAACCUGCCUAGAGCAUAGUGAGUGUCUGGCAUGUCACAUGAGAUCACGAGGGUGUGACCUGGAAUCUUGGUGUGGGGCUGAAUCAAAGCAGAUGGUGCACUUUGGUUCAGGACCGUGCAAACAUGUGGUCCUACUCUGCAGGGAGAAAGCAGAGUGGGACUUAUUUUGAUUACACUCGGCUCCCACCUCCUCCAACUCCAGACAUCUUUCAGAACAGGGAAAUGAGCCGGGAGUCCAGUGAUACUGCUGAUAUGAUUCAGGCCUCCUUGGGAGGAAAGCAACCGGAAGCAGAGGGCUGGCUGCUGUGCAAUGAGGUCAUCCCUUUGGCAUGCUGUCCUGGUCCUGGAGAAAGACAACAAGAGACAGAAGCUAUUUGGCUUCUUGGCUGACUCUCAAGUCUUAACUGAGGUCCAGGAAAGGUUGAGGUGUCGGUAUGGAUCCACUGUUGCCAAGGACGCAAGAACAAAACCCUUCAUUUUAAAUGCCAGUGGAAAAAUGUUCAGGAUAAAUACCAAGACACAUAAUGUGCUUUUAUUAAGGCAGCUUUUAAAAUGAGUUUUGGAAAACAGCCUUCAAGUGACUAUAAAGGUCCUCCUUGAGUGGAGGUCACUUGAGAAUUUGGCUUUGUGGACACAAACACUCCUGAACUGUUUUGGUUUUGCUGCCCUCAGGUAGGAGCCCCUGCACCUGGGCUGGACUCAAGCUCUGGGAUUACAGACAGCAAGCAAAGAAAAUGCUUAGAAGAGCAGAGAUUCAUGGUGUUCAUAGUAACUGCAGGAAGACAACAUGAGUGUAUCACAGAUGAGUCAGAAGAAAGACUGCUGGUGAAGCCUGAAGGUGAAAGACAAGGGCAGAGACUAUGAACAGAGUGAGAUGGUUGGAGCUCUGCUCCCAUCCUAGGAGAAUAAAUGGGACACCCUGGAGGUGAAACAACCCUAUUUUAUAGGUACGAGACCUACAAGUGGUAUCUCUUGUGGCAUGAACAAAUGUCUAUUUACUCCAGAUAAGGCACCAAUGACAUAUCAAAGAAACAAUUGCAUCAGUCUCUCUUGAUCCCUGUUGAAGACUGGCAAGUGCAAGGGAUGGAACUCUUGGUCAGGCAUGUCUCAAGGCAACUGAAGAGGAACUGAAAAUGAAGAGCUAUUCCUGCCUGGACCAUUUGUCAUCCUCAGUUAAGUGGAAUCUGCUGAACUCCCAGGGAAGCUCACUCUCUGGAUCAGAUACCACAGAACAAGUGGUUCCAUGAGAGAAGGGAAAGCUGGUAUUUACUGUGUGUGACUUAUGGGACAAAUGCAGCAUCUGAAGUGGCCAUGAGGGGCAAGACUAUUGUCUAGCCGUUUACCAUCCCUACUUCAAAGAACUACAAGGUUAAAGGUCUUCCCCAGUAUGUUCUUAUCGAUGUUGGUUUAGACCCCGCUGCAUCUGGAUUUAUCCAGCGGCAGCUAAGAGCUACUGAGAACAAUGUGAAAGACCUCCCUCCUGGCACCCAUUUCUUCAUUGAGACCCUCAGUUUCUCCUCCUAACCAGGAAUUAAAGAGUGGACAGAUGAAUUAAGGAGCAGGCUGGAGAAGAGGAGGCAGCCUUCCCAAGAGAUAGUAGGUCAGUAAAGACCCAUGACUGGCUAAGAGUUGGCAGAGGCCAUGGCCAGGAACAUAAACUUCAGCUCUAGCACUCAAGUGUAAGACCCACAGACUUGUUUAAACCCCAGAUCCUGCCCUCAAAAAUUGUCUUUACUGCUUAGACAGAUCUCUUUCCUCUGGAUAUAACCUGACCCAUCAACUUAGACUGUGUGGACCGCUCCUCCUCCUUUUCCUUUUCUUCCUCCUCUUCCUCUAUCAACAACCUUUACCAUGGAGACAAGUAUCCUGCUGAGCAAUAUUCCCUAGAUAUUUUAAAUUUGUACCAUCUUCACUAGUACCUUGAAAGUUUUAAAAGGUAUAUAUUGUCUAAAUACUUAAAUAAGUUCACAUGUAAUCUGAAAAUCUGAGUACUCUAAACAACACACAUACACACACACACACACACACACACACACACACACACACACACACACACCCCUACUCUGUAAUCUGCAUACAACUCAAAAUAAACAUCAUUUCACAAUAUCGUGCAAGAAAUAGAGUUAGAGUAAUUUUUUUUUCUUUUCUUUUUUUGGUUUUUCGAGACAGGGUUUCUCUGUCGCUUUAGAGGCUGUCCUGGAACUAGCUCUUGUUCUCGAACUCACAGAGAUCCACCUGCCUCUGCCUCCCGAGUGCUGGGAUUAAAGGUGUACGCCACCAACAACCGAGUUGGAGUAAUUUUAAAGCUCUUUUUAGUAACAUCAAAGGAUGAGCCCUCUGAGGUCAGGAUUUUCCUCAGUCAGGAUUUUCCUCAAACUCCUUGACACACUAGUUGAUUCACCAAGCCGGUAUUUAUUGAGCACCUUUGUGCACUGCUCUGAGUUGAAGACCAUGUGGUAAAAGGGCAGAGGCAGACUCAACUUCAUGGACUGCAUUUCAAUAAUUAGACCUCAUGGACUUUUUAUUCCUUCCUUUCUUUUUCUCUUUUCUUUCCUUCCCUCCUCCCUUCCUUCUUUCCUUCUUUCUUUUUAAAUCUUCUUCCAGAAAAAUGUUGUUUACUGACAAUAUUAAUCAUUGAAUAGCUGAUCAAUAGUCACAAUUUAAAAUACAUGUGUCUCAUUUCCUGUCACAUGUAGCUCUCAUCCAUCCCUCAAAGCAAAACUACCUUACAGUUAGUUGAACAGCAACUAUUAUCAUGUAAAUGAAUCCAGUGUAUAACUUAAGGCAAUGCCAGAAAGAAACUAAAUGGGAGAUCAGUUAUGGAUUGAAUCACACACACACACACACACACACACACACACACACACACACACACACACACACACUCCAGAUAGCAUUAUGGAAUAUUUGCUAAAAACAUCUUUAUGAGAUAUUUGCUUUACCACAGGGUUUCUCAGCCUUAGUACUACUGGCAUGUUAGGCCAGUGGCCCCAUAGGUUCAUAGAUUUAAAUGCUUGAUUCCUAGUUGGUAGACUGUUUAGGAAUAAUUAGGAGGUGUGACACUGGGAGUGGGCUUUGAGGUUCAAAAGCCAAUACCAGGCCCAAUCUCUCUCUAACUCCCUUGUUCUUUCUUUCUUUCCCUAUCUCCCUCCCCAUCCUCUUCACCCUCUCUCUCUCUCUCUCUCUCUCUCUCUCUCUCUCUCUCUCUGUAUGUGUGUGUGUGUGUGUAAUAAUUUUUUUGUACUCUGUGAAGAUGUUUCACUUGGAUUGAUUUAAUAAAAAGCUGAAUGGCCAAUAGCUAGGCAGGAUUUUCAGGGCAUCGAGAAUGCAGGGAAGAAGGCGGAGUUGCCAGCCAAAUGCAGAGGAAGCUGCAUGGGGAGUACAGAGUCAAUGGAGCUGAGCCACAUAAAAGAAUGUAGAUUAAAAGAUAUGGAUUAUUUUAAGUUAUAAGAACUAGUCAGGAACAAACCUAAGCUAUCGGCUGAGCUAUCAUAAUUAAUAAGAAAUCUUCAUGUCAUGAUUUGGGAGCUGGGUGAAGGGACAAAAAAAUCAGCCUAGAAAUGACAUCUAAGGUGGGGGCAUGUAUUUCCACAUAAGACCUGAAAAAGCUUAAAUAAAUGUUUCAAACACACAAAAAUGGAGUCAAACCAUGCUUAGGCUUGUUUUUAGCUAGUUCUUGAGCUACGUGGAAGCACAUAGAUCAAUAGAAAUGGCCGAGCAUUUAUAGUUAAUAUUAAGUCUUUGGAGCUGGCAGUCCUGACAUAACACUCUGCCUACAGAAACUCUUAGAGGAAAACACUUUGGGAUGUAAGUAUAUGCAAGAACUUUCUGAGCAGGGCUCACAUGGCAUAGGAAAUAGCCUCCUCAAGAGCUAAUAAACAGGAUGACAUGAGAUUAGAAAGUUUCGCUACAACAAAGGAAAGAACCAGCAGAAUGAAUAGUCUAUAGAAGGGGAGAAAACCUUUGUCAGCUAUACUAUAGACAGGAAGGUUGAUAUUUAGAAUACACAAAAACUGCAAAAAUCAAACAACAAACCCCACAACUGCCAGUCAACAAAUGGGAUAACAGAAUGAGCAGACAGUUCUCAAGAGUAGUAUACAAUAGGCUAAUAGUGCUUACUGUUUUUGCUCGGUUAGUUGGUUUUGCUUUUUUGUCAACUUGACAUAAGCUAUAGUCAUCUGGGAAGAGAGAACAUCAGUUGGCCAGUAGGCAAAUCUAUGGGGCAUUUUCUUGAUUAGUCAUUGAUAUGGGAGGGCCCAGGCCACAGUAGGUGGUACCACCCAUGGGCAAGUGAUUCUGACUUGUAUAAGAAAACAAACCUUGAGGAGUAUGUCGGCAAGCAAUGUUCCUCCAUGGUCUCUGAUUCAGUCCCUGUCUCCAGGUUCCUUCCUUGCUUGGGGUCCUAUCUCAGCUUCCUUCAGUGACACACACAUUGUUACCUGAAGUACAUGACAAAAUAAACCCUUUCCUCCCCAAGUUGGUUUUGGUCAUAGUGUUUUAUCACAACAAUAGAAACCAAACCAACAUACCAACAAGCAUUUAAGUGUUCAAUUUCUUUAACUGUCAAGAAAAUGCAAAUUAAAGCUACUUUGAUCUUCAUCUCAGUCAAAUUGGCUGUUACCAAGAAAACAAAUAACAACACACACUAGCAAGAUGUGGGAGAAAAGGAACCCUUAUUCAUACUGGUGGGAGAGUAAACAGGUAUAGCAGCUACAUAAUACCAGCAUGAAGGUUUCUCACAAAAUUAAAAUUAGGGCUACCAUGUAACACACCUAUACCAUUCCUGGGCAUAUACCCAUAGAGAGAG
ensembl:lncRNA